AUUGAACGCUGGCGGCAGGCCUAACACAUGCAAGUCGAACGAGUGGCGGACGGGUGAGUAAUGUCUGGGAAACUGCCUGAUGGAGGGGGAUAACUACUGGAACCGGUAGCUAAUAACGCAUACCAUCAGAUGUACCCAUAUGGGAUUAGCUUGUUGGGGGGGUAACGGCUCCCCAAGGCGACGAUCCCUAGCUGGUCUGAGAGGAUGACCGGCCACACUGGAACUGAGAAACGGUCCAGACUCCUACGGUAGGCAGCAGUGGGUAAUAUUGAACAAGAGGCGCAAGCCUGAUGCAGCCAUGCCGCGUGUAUGAAGAAGGCCUUCGGGUUGUAAAGUACUUGCAGCGGGGAGGCAUUACCCGCAGAAGAAGCACCGGCUAACUCCGUGCCAGCAGCCGCGGUAAUAC
rnacentral:rRNA from 1 species